rnacentral:lncRNA from 1 species
GCUGGUAUGAUGACUUUCUGCUCCAUAAACACAGCCUUCUUGCCUCAGUGCUCUACUGACUCCACGUAUGACCCUCAUCCUCAUUGUCUGAGAUAGUGGCAUGAUGUUUCUGGCAGGAGGAUGGAGGAAGGCAUAGAGAAGAAGAAACAAGGGCAUAUGUCAGCUGUCUCAGGAUUACCUUCAUAGUGAACUGGAGAGUACACAUCUGGAUGUCUUGGGAUAAGGGAGAGAGAGGAGAGUCAAUAGUGAAGAGAAAGUUUAUCACAUUCCUGAGAAAUAUCCUCCUGAGCUUGCAGCAAAGUGAUUUCUGGCCUGUGGAGAAGAAGACAGUGAACUACUACUACUGGAUGGAUACUGAUGCCUUUAAGAGAGUCCUAAUUUCAAUCUUCUGUCAUGGAGAAUAUCCAAUCAAAUUAGAAGUGAAACAAGUCAAAGUAAGCUUUUUUGAAAACAAUAUUAUCUGUGAUUUUGGUGAAAAGAUACAUUUCUCCAUUAAAAUUGUAUUUAUUUUUAAAAAAUGUCAAUAUGGUUCGUGCCCCAUUUACAACCCAACACACUUAGAUUAUCCAUCAUUGCCACCAGAUACAAAAGUUGCAACUUUUUUUAUUUUCAUAAACUUACUAUUUUGA